CACUGUGGCAAGAGCUAGAAUCAAGAAAUAUAGGCCCAGACUAGAGUGACUCAGCAUGUAUGGUUCGAGGGGCUCUGAAAGGGACAUCUCCAUCUUGAACAUGAGAGCCCCUGGUCUUAUUGCUCAGUGGUCAGAGUUCCUCAGACCGAUACCGUUGGCCUCUGACUAACACCAAAGACGAUGGCUCAGGGUGGGUAAUUAGAACGACCAUAAUGGCCUCUGUAUAUGUAAACCUGGGCCAGACAGAACUGUGUAAAAUACGAUUGCGUGCCUACAAUUUAGCCCUAAUGGACACGAGUGUAUAUACCAAGACCUCUUGCACAAGAUUAAAUUUGUUAUACAUUUUAAAUGUUUCCAGAUGAACGGUCCUUAGCCAGCAUCAGGAGAUGGGGGAGGGUGCCAAGAAGAGGAGCAGUUUGAAUUGACUACUGUGGAGGUUAGAACAGAAAAAAAAAAGAUAGCCCCCCCCCCAUCCCCAACCCCAUCUCCACUCCUUAAGGCUAAAAACCUUUACUCAAGGGGAUGGUGAUAAAAUCAUAUCCAGUAGAGAAAUGGCUAGGCGGCUUCUGUUGGGAUCCCAGAAAAGCAGGUUAAUUUACUUAAGCCAUCUAAUGAGGAAUCAGGCUGCUCCCAGUCUUCAUGACUUCCCCUCCACACACCAGCUCCCCACCCACACUCCCUGCGACCUGCCCUGCAGAUCUCUGCACGGAUCUUCCCCUUCACCUUCACGUUUGGAUUCUAAAUUUCAAAUCCAGCUCAGCCUGGUGGUUUUAAGGACUGGGGCUGGGGGAGGACAUGAGGACAUGGUAUUUGAUUCUAAGAAAAAGGGCUCAGAAACCCUUCUUGGAAAUUCCCCCUGAUCCCACUCAUCACUGUGGCUCCUAAUUUGAUUUGAUGAAUUAAAUACAAAUAAAUCAAAGCCAUGUGGAUCAAAUUUAUGU
rnacentral:lncRNA from 1 species